rnacentral:rRNA from 1 species
UACGAAGGGGGCUAGCGUUGCUCGGAAUCACUGGGCGUAAAGCGCACGUAGGCGGAUCGCUAAGUCAGGGGUGAAAUCCUGGAGCUUAACUCCAGAACUGCCUUUGAUACUGGCAAUCUCGAGUCCGGGAGAGGUGAGUGGAACUGCGAGUGUAGAGGUGAAAUUCGUAGAUAUUCGCAAGAACACCAGUGGCGAAGGCGGCUCACUGGCCCGGUACUGACGCUGAGGUGCGAAAGCGUGGGGAGCAAACAGG